AUUCCAGCUCCAAUAGCGUAUAUUAAAGUUGUUGCAGUUAAAAAGCUCGUAGUUGGAUUUCUGGGAGGGUGCCAAUGUCCGUCGUCGUGCGUGUUGCAGCGGCGCCCUUCCAUCCUUCUGUUAACGACUUUGGGCAUUCACUUGCCGGAGUCGGGCUCAGAUAUUUUACCUUGAGAAAAUUAGAGUGUUUCAGGCAGGCUAGGCCGGAAUACAUUAGCAUGGAAUAAUGGAAUAGGACUACGGUCUCUUUGUUGGUUUGAGGGACUGCAGUAAUGAUUAAUAGGGAUAGUUGGGGGCAUUAGUAUUUAAUUGUCAGAGGUGGAAUUCUCGGAUUUGUUAAAGACUAACUUAUGCGAAAGCAUUUGCCAAGGAUGUUUUCAUUA
rnacentral:rRNA from 1 species